UACGUAGGGGGCUAGCGUUGUCCGGAAUCAUUGGGCGUAAAGAGCGCGUAGGCGGCCCGGUAAGUCCGCUGUAAAAGUCCAGGGCUCAACCCUGGAAAGCCGGUGGAUACUGUCGGGCUAGAGUGUGGAAGGGGCGAUUGGAAUUCCGUGUGUAGCGGUGAAAUGCGUAGAUAUACGGAGGAACACCAGGGGCGAAGGCGGAUCGCUGGGCCAACACUGACACUGAUGUGCGAAAGCUAGGGGAGCAAACGGG
rnacentral:rRNA from 1 species